AAGAAAACAUAAGAAAAGGAACUUAAGAAACAUGUAUCGUAGAAACCCUAACAUACUCACUCGAGUCCCCCAAAACCCACAUGCCACCUGAGUGUAAACCACCACCAAACCACCGGAGACGCUACGACCACCACCACGCCACCGGAGACGCUCCGACUACCACCUUUAACCCUUCACGCCACCUGAGAAGACCACCAUCUGCAACCUCUUGAGUCAUUCCUCCAAUCCAUCAUUGCAGUGUUGCCCCACUUGAGCUGAUUCAUGUGGACCACAGCACCGCAUCGCCCUACAACGAUGGUCCAUCUUAAAUUGGUUCCGUCACUACACUAGCUUCUCAACUCAACCACACAUUGUUCAGCAAUCCCAAUCACACUGCUGCACUCGUUUGCAAAUAGGCAAACCAACCCACAAUAGUUGUAUCAAAAUUCUAAAAUGAUGAUUGUGAAUCUGUCUUAAGAUAAAUUUCCGAUGAUCACAACACCACGAUUGAUUUCUUGCCAUUUUCCAGCUCAAAACGCAGGAACCUCUACUAUAAUCUUAGAAAGUAUUUGGUGUAAAUGAGCCCUUUCUACCACUUCAAGGACCUUUACUUCUUAACUUAACUUGAGUUCAAGUUAUCCGACUAAGUUUGGAAAGUAUUUGACUAAGUAUCUGAUGAAGAAGCGGAUGAUGACACGGAUAUGACGUACAAUUAUUACAUUUUAUAUGUUAGGUAGUUUUAUGACAUCUUUGUGAAUUGUGACUUAAAACGAACCCGGAUUGUGACGUUUAUGCUUAUGUUUUUUUUGAAAGGAAAACAUUUAUGCUUACGUUUAUGCUUAUUA